UACGUAGGGUGCAAGCGUUAAUCGGAAUUACUGGGCGUAAAGCGUGCGCAGGCGGUUAGGUAAGUUUGAUGUGAAAUCCCCGGGCUCAACCUGGGAACUGCAUUGAAGACUGUCUGACUAGAGUACGGCAGAGGGGGGUGGAAUUCCACGUGUAGCAGUGAAAUGCGUAGAGAUGUGGAGGAACACCGAUGGCGAAGGCAGCCCCCUGGGCCGAUACUGACGCUCAUGCACGAAAGCGUGGGGAGCAAACAGGAUUAGAUACCCUGGUAGUCCACGCCCUAAACGAUGUCAACUAGUUGUUGGUAGGGUUAAACCUAUUAGUAACGUAGCUAACGCGUGAAGUUGACCGCCUGGGGAGUACGGUCGCAAGAUUAAA
rnacentral:rRNA from 1 species